rnacentral:rRNA from 1 species
UUGCACGCUGGCGGCAUGCCUUACCCCUGCCCGUCGAACGGUAACAGGUCUUCGGAUGCUGACGAGUGGCGAACGGGUGAGUAAUACAUCGGAACGUGCCCAGACGUGGGGGAUAACGAGGCGAAAGCUUUGCUAAUACCGCAUACGAUCUAAGGAUGAAAGCAGGGGACCGCAAGGCCUUGUGCGUUUGGAGCGGCCGAUGGCAGAUUAGGUAGUUGGUGGGAUAAAAGCUUACCAAGCCGACGAUCUGUAGCUGGUCUGAGAGGACGACCAGCCACACUGGGACUGAGACACGGCCCAGACUCCUACGGGAGGCAGCAGUGGGGAAUUUUGGACAAUGGGCGAAAGCCUGAUCCAGCAAUGCCGCGUGCAGGAUGAAGGCCUUCGGGUUGUAAACUGCUUUUGUACGGAACGAAAAGGCUCUGGCUAAUACCUGGGGCACAUGACGGUACCGUAAGAAUAAGCACCGGCUAACUACGUG